GGACUACACGGGUUUCUAAUCCCGUUUGCUACCCACGCUUUCGUGCCUUAGUGUCAGGAACGAGCCAGUUAUCUGCCUACGCCAUCGGUGUUCCUCCUAAUAUCUACGGAUUUCACUCCUACACUAGGAAUUCCAAUAACCUCUCUCGUCCUCUAGCUUGGCAGUUUCCAUAAUGUGUAAGGGGUUGAGCCCCAGGCUUUCACUACAGACUUACCAUGCCACCUACGCAACUCUUUACGCCCAGUAAUUCCGGAUAACGCUUGGAUCCUCCGUAUUACCGCGGCUGCUGGCAC
rnacentral:rRNA from 1 species